CUUNCNCNUCGCNANUCGUAACAAGUCGAGCGGACUGACGGGAGCUUGCUCCCUUAGGUCAGCGGCGGACGGGUGAGUAACACGUGGGUAACCUGCCUGUAAGACUGGGAUAACUCCGGGAAACCGGGGCUAAUACCGGAUGCUUGAUUGAACCGCAUGGUUCAAUUAUAAAAGGUGGCUUUUAGCUACCACUUACAGAUGGACCCGCGGCGCAUUAGCUAGUUGGUGAGGUAACGGCUCACCAAGGCGACGAUGCGUAGCCGACCUGAGAGGGUGAUCGGCCACACUGGGACUGAGACACGGCCCAGACUCCUACGGGAGGCAGCAGUAGGGAAUCUUCCGCAAUGGACGAAAGUCUGACGGAGCAACGCCGCGUGAGUGAUGAAGGUUUUCGGAUCGUAAAACUCUGUUGUUAGGGAAGAACAAGUACCGUUCGAAUAGGGCGGUACCUUGACGGUACCUAACCAGAAAGCCACGGCUAACUACGUGCCAGCAGCCGCGGUAAUACGUAGGUGGCAAGCGUUGUCCGGAAUUAUGGGGCGUAAAGCGCGCGCAGGCGGUUUCUUAAGUCUNAUGUGAAAGCCCCCGGCUCAACCGGGG
rnacentral:rRNA from 1 species